rnacentral:miRNA from 1 species
CAGAGUAUAUGUUUUUUGUUA